rnacentral:rRNA from 1 species
CCUACUUUAUUAAUUUUACUUAUUAUAAUCUAUACCUCAGGUGAAAAUACCUGAAUUUAUAUGAAAGACAAGAAGACCCUAUAGAGUUUUAAUAAUACUUGGACCCCUCUGACAAUACUAUUUUAAUUGGGGCGAUUAAGGAUUUGACCCUACAUCCUAAUAUUACACCGACACUAAGUCCUAACAAUGAUCCUUUCCUAGAAACUAGACUAAACUACCUUAGGGAUAACAGGCUUAUCUUCCUAACAAGUCCAAAUUAACAGGAAGGUUUGGCACCUCGAUGUUGGCUUAGAGAUACCAAAUAAAGCAAAAAUUAUUUAGGUUAGUUUGUUCAACUAUUAAACCUCU